AAAUGUUAAAUCCUAAAAAUGAAACAGUUGCGUAUUAAUAUAAAUGUUUAAAGUGCUUCUGGAGGCAGCAGCACGCGGGUUGUCAUAGGGACUACAGCACGUGUUUACGUACAACAAUUAAGUUUCACUCGAGUGAUCUUGUAAUCAUAUUGAGCUGUGUAGCGACAACAACAUGAAGACAUAUUAAAAUCAAAUGUGUAAGACGCAGAUGUGCUGGAUAGAGCAUUGAAUAACUUGAAUGAAUCAACUGUUGGAUGCUUGAUGGUUCACUUUGAGUUUUACUACCAUCACUAAAAUAAGCCAUUAAGAUAAAGGUCAGGACCAUUACCUGUCGAAGGGCCGUGUGCAUGUGUGUAUUACUGGACUUCAGGAUGUAACGGCACCACUGAAUUGCCCAGUUUCCUCUUCCUCUGUUGUCCCUCAUGGCUCACAUCAGGUAUAUAGUCCAUGGGAAACGGAAGAGAGUGAGACGUAAUGCAGCAUGGUUCCCAUAAGAGCUGAUCAGGUAGCACGACAGGCUCCUGGGACCUUGUAGAGAAAAUAAAGGUUUGGAUAAUGGAUGAAUGGAAAAAGAAAUGACACAAAACAGUGUAAGCAAAGUAAAAAUCAAGCGUACUGUAUCUGUUAUAACCAAUUUAGUAAUACCACCCCUGUCACCCUUGAGACGGCACUUAUUUUACAGACACACACUUACACAGUAAGCCUUUAAUGUCAGCGUAUGAUAGUAACUCUUCCAUGAUCUUUAUAAACACACGGGUCUGGGUGUCUUGAUUUUAAAGACUAGCUGCAUUAAACAGUCCCAUUCACUGUAUAAGUGUUCACGCUGGUUCAUUGACCUUUAAGAGACAAAUCUGUUUCUCUCACAAGGCAUACACAGCAUUUAAACAGUAAGUAUAAAUAUGUUAAAUCAAUCUAGAAAUUGAUGGUGUUGGGUGGGAGAUCCACUUCUCCAGCCCUUGAUGCGAGGAUCUCCUCACACACACACACACAUGCACAUACAGUACACACCGGGCACUUGAGGUGAAUUAUUGUUUGCAAGUGGAAACUUGGCCCCCCAUUCCGACUGCCGGUCCGGUGCUGACUAAGAGCGCCGUCUGGGUUUUUGUCCCCUUCUCUUCCACAGCCCACUCUCUCUCUCUCUCUCUCUCUCUCUCUCUCUCUCUCUCUCUCUCUCUCUCUCUCUCUCUCUCUCUCUCUCUCUCACAUACACACACAUGUACAGCUGUAGCCUUCCUCCACUUGGCCAUUCACCUCUGUGCUCCUGCUGUAAAUUCCACCAGUAACUGGAAACACAAACAUGCCCCUGUCCAAGGUAGACUGACACUCCUUUUUGCUUCUUUAUUUCUGAAUGUUAUUUUUUAGCGUAUCCCAUAACACCAUGCUUGGCAGCUGGUUCACUAAAUGAAACAUCGCUAGAUUGACUGUAGGGUUGCCAAGUGUUAGCAAAAGUUA